rnacentral:rRNA from 1 species
CCUACGGGGCGCAGCAGUCGAGAAUCAUUCACAAUGGGGGAAACCCUGAUGGUGCGACGCCGCGUGGGGGAAUGAAGGUCUUCGGAUUGUAAACCCCUGUCAUGUGGGAGCAAAUUAAAAAGAUAGUACCCCAAGAGGAAGAGACGGCUAACUCUGUGCCAGCAGCCGCGGUAAUACAGAGGUCUCAAGCGUUGUUCGGAAUCACUGGGCGUAAAGCGUGCGUAGGCUGUUUCGUAAGUCGUGUGUGAAAGGCGCGGGCUCAACCCGCGGACGGCACAUGAUACUGCGAGACUAGAGUAAUGGAGGGGGAACCGGAAUUCGCGGUGUAGCAGUGAAAUGCGUAGAUAUCGAGAGGAACACUCGUGGCGAAGGCGGGUUCCUGGACAUUAACUGACGCUGAGGCACGAAGGCCAGGGGAGCGAAAGGGAUUAGAUACCCUUGUAGUC